UAAACUCUAUGGCCGAUCUCUAUGAGCGAGCCAAGAAGUAGGCCAAUCUUUAUGGGAGAGCCAGGAGCAAGAUAAAUUCUAUGGCCGAACUCUAUGGCCGAUCUCUAUAGGUGAACUAAGAAGUAGGCCGAACUCUACGAGAGAGCAAGGAGCAAGCUAAACUCUGUGGUCGAACUCUAUGACCGAUCUCUAUAGGCGAACUAGGAAGUAGGCCGAUCUUCACGAGAGAACCAAGAGCAGGCCAAACUCUAUGGCCGAUCUCUA
rnacentral:misc_RNA from 1 species